UACGUAGGGUGCAAGCGUUAUCCGGAAUCAUUGGGCGUAAAGAGUUCGUAGGUGGUUUGGUAAGUUUGUGGUUAAAUCUGGUCGCUCAACGAUCAACUCGCCGCAAAAACUCCCAAACUUGAGAUUGGCAGAGGCAACGUGGAAUUCCACAUGGUAGGGGUAAAAUCCGUUGAUAUGUGGAGGAACACCAAAAGCGAAGGCCAGGUUGCUGGGACCAUUUCUGACACUGAGGAACGAAAGCGUGGGGAGCAAAC
rnacentral:rRNA from 1 species